AAUUUUGCAUGGUUCGAAGUCAAAGGAAAACAACGGAAACUAAACGUCGAUACAUGACAUCACGACGGAGCCGAUCGUGACAUCAAAAAUUCCUUCCUUCGCCAUCCGAGGAAGGAUCCCACUCGACGGUCCAGCCUGGAGAGAGCUGGGUCGGCCAAGUGGUACCAGCAACCAAACUAUUGACAUUACCUGAAAAAGAUUAGCCACAACAAGGCUGAGCAACUAGUACUCAGCAAGACUGACCCGUCGGAAAGACACGACCGAGACCUAGACAUGCAAGGCUUUCUGGCUCUGGGGUUUUCUUUGCCAAAAGCGUCUAAAGUCAGUCCUUACUUUCAACAUUUUAGCUCAUGUUCUAUGUUCUUUAUCCAUUCUAGGUUAGCAACUUAUACUAAACAAACAUGGUUUCCAAGCAAUUCUUGAACAAGCAUCAAGAUUAAAAUCAUCAUCAUGUUCCAUCUUUACUCAGUGCAGAAUAGUGAUCAAGUAGUCCCAAUCUGUAAGAGGCAGACGAAUCGAUUCGAAUUUAUUAACCAUGCAUGGCCAACCUAAUCUCACGACAUCCGCGCACCACGAAGGGUCGCUUCAUUUGUCAGCCGUCCCCAUCGAUCCCUUAGGCACGUGUCAGGGCUAACUUCCUUUGGCAUGCAAUGCUCCACAGUCCCAGCCUAUUGCUGCACUGUGACCGCACUUGCACCCACAUGAUGCACCAUGGGAACGACGUUCCAAGGACAGUCGGAGGGUAUGCCACGCCCCAGUUCAAUCAGGUACUAGGCUUCCCCAUCCCAUACUAGGUAUGAGAUUAGUACUUUCAAACACUUGAUCACGAACGCCGACACAUUUCGACCUUAGUCCAUUUUCAUUUAGAUAGACGGGGCAAUCCACCAAGUAUCGAACAUAAGCCUGACCCCGUCCGUCGUCCUUAUAGUUGCGGCAUAACUGGAACAUUCAACUCCUAUAACUCGCGAGUGACAGGAAAUCACUCGACUUUUACCGAAACCUAUUAAGCAUUGCACUACUCGACCUUAGCAACUAGUAUUCAGACAAGGUACUAAGUUUAUGCAUCUAAGGUUUCAUUACAACUCCUGGAACGUAAAUGCGCAAUCAAGUAACCAGUGAGUGGCAUGAAAGUAAAACAGGGAGUUCAUGCAGCGGGGCUUGCCUUCAAGAAAAGCUUGCGGGUCCUCGGGGUCUUGCUCUGGUUCGGGCUCUCCUUCGAAGGGGUGAAGCUCCUCGACGGGGUCUUCUUCCGGUGCCGGGUGAAGCUCGU
rnacentral:lncRNA from 1 species